UACGAAGGGUGCAAGCGUUACUCGGAAUUACUGGGCGUAAAGGGUGCGUAGGUGGUUUCUUAAGUCCGUUGUGAAAUCCCUGGGCUCAACCUGGGAAUGGCAGUGGAUACUGGAAAGCUAGAGUGCGGUAGAGGGUAGUGGAAUUCCCGGUGUAGCAGUGAAAUGCGUAGAUAUCGAGAGGAACACCUGCGGCGAAGGCGGGUUGCUGGGCUGAUACUGACGCUGAGGCGCGAAAGCCAGGGGAGCGAACGGG
rnacentral:rRNA from 1 species